GAGGAGACUGCCUCAUUGCAGUUUAUCAAUGAAAAUCUAAUAUCGUCCAUAAGCAGAGAAGUGGAAAUCAAUACUUCAUUACCAAAUUAGACCAAGUAGUCUUCCUUCUGACGUGGUUGGAACCCCCUGGCAGAUCCGGAGACUUGAGGAGGAGAGUGAUGAUGGAUCAAAGAAAGAGGAAGAGACAGCCGAUCUUAAGGGGUGAAAGUGCCUUCCACUGUGAGGCAGGAUGAGGCCUCGGGUGGAGGGUUCACACGCACUCUAUUCGAGGCCCCCGUCUCUCCUCCCUGACAUGACAUGAACGUGACACUGGUUUUAGAGAGCCUUGUUUCACUUGGCACUUCCUCGAACCUGUUUGAGAUUUGAUCAACACCCCGACUUCUCUGGCUGGGUUUCUCUUAGGUCAGAGUUUGCUCUGGGAAGGGGAGCAAGGAGAAGGAAAAAGUACUUAUAUUAUAUUAUAGACCCCCUUCUUGGAAAUUCAUAAUACACAUUAGCACCUUAAAGGUUCUGAGAAGUCCUGCCACCAAAAACCAACCCAACGAAACACAAUGUGUCUUUAGUUAACCCAGUGCCGCCUAGAUUUGUUUGAUGACUCUUUUCUUCCCCACAAAACUCUCACAGAUAGGCUUGAGUGUUAAUUUCCUGGAAAAUAGCUUCAUGACAUAGCUUGUGUAAAAGCAAAGAAGUCGCUCAGCUCCUAGGAUCUCAGUCCUGACCUCAUUAUUGACUUUCUGUGGUUCUUUGCUCAGGUUCCUUGGCUCUUUGGGGCCCUCAGCAUCAAAGGAGCCUGUUGUACUGAUAACUUGACAUUCCCUGCGUUCCUUCUAUGCUACCCACGCUAAGCCCAUGCCUCCCCACACGUCAGCGUCAUGAUGCUGCAAUGCGGGAGGGAAUACGUGUCUACACUUAACAGCCUGUGAGAUGGAAAUUUAGAGAGGUGAAACUGUUCAGCCUGCGGUCACCUGGCUGAUCUCCUUCCAUUCCACCACGAUGGACUGAAGUGAUGGAUUCUUCUGGAAGGUCAGUGUUCCUGUCCUAAAAGAGAAUGGUAAAGAAGAGAACUGAAUCUUGGUCCACUUUGGGACGAUGUAUCUUUUCUUACGAUUUCUUAUCUUAGAAGAAGGAGAAGCACUUUAGCUUUCUGUAGGUCUAAAGACGAGACCCGGCCAGAAAAUCAGCACUAGAAAAUGCAGGGAUGAGAGCUACUGGUUUUACUUCUCACUGUUCAGAAUGAGGUGUGUAAAAUAAUUUCGCUUGCGUUUCCGCUGGUUGUCGAGGGCACGCUUUGUGGCUGCGUGGGUUUUUCCCCCCCUCUCUAAUACGUGAAGUUACUACUAUAAAA